UGUUAGACAACCCUAGUGAUCAGUUAGUCUCUAGUCUCCUGUUAGACAACCCUAGUGAUCAGUUAGUCUCUAGUCUCCUGUUAGACAACCCUAGUGAUCAGUUAGUCUCUAGUCUCCUGUUAGACAACCCUAGUGAUCAGUUAGUCUCUAGUCUCCUGUUAGACAACCCUAGUGAUCAGUUAGUCUCUAGUCUCCUGUUAGACAACCCUAGUGAUCAGUUAGUCUCUAGUCUCCUGUUAGACAACCCUAGAUCCCUGGGAGCGAGGCUACUGAUUUAGUAAACAGUGUGUGUUGGCUGUGUUGCUCCACACCAACCGCAGGGUUGGCAGGCAGAGUGGGUGUGUUGCUCCACACCAACCGCAGGGUUGGCAGGCAGAGUGGGUGUGUUGCUCCACACCAACCGCAGGGUUGGCAGGCAGAGUGGGUGUGUUGCUCCACACCAACCGCAGGGUUGGCAGGGCAGAGUGGGUGUGUUGCUCCACACCAACCGCAGGGUUGGCAGGGCAGAGUGGGUGUGUUUUAGGUUGGCAGGCAGAGUGGGUGUGUUUUAGGUUGGCAGGGCAGAGUGGGUGUAUUUUAGGUUGGCAGGGCAGAGUGGGUGUGUUUUAGGUUGGCAGGCAGAGUGGGUGUGUUUUAGGUUGGCAGGGCAGAGUGGGUGUAUUUUAGGUUGGCAGGGCAGAGUGGGUGUAUUUUAGGUUGGCAGGGCAGAGUGGGUGUGUUUUAGGUUGGCAGGCAGAGUGGGUGUGUUUUAGGUUGGCAGGGCAGAGUGGGUGUAUUUUAGGUUGGCAGGGCAGAGUGGGUGUAUUUUAGGUUGGCAGGGCAGAGUGGGUGUAUUUUAGGUUGGCAGGGCAGAGUGGGUGUAUUUUAGGUUGGCAGGGCAGAGUGGGUGUAUUUUAGGUUGGCAGGGCAGAGUGGGUGUAUUUUAGGUUGGCAGGGCAGAGUGGGUGUGUUGCUCCACACCAACGGCAGGGUUGGCAGGCAGAGUGGGUGUGUUUUAGGUUGGCAGGGCAGAGUGGGUGUGUUUUAGGUUGGCAGGGCAGAGUGGGUGUGUUUUAGGACCCUUCGGUGGUGGUGAUGACUGUGUGGCAGAGGACUGGCACUGUGAUGUCACACACUGAGGAAUACCACACUGAAACAGAUGAAAUGAUGGAGAGAGAGAGAGAGAGAGAGAGAGA